rnacentral:ncRNA from 8 species
UAGCCAAAUGCCUCGUCAUCUAAU